UUAUUACUCCUUCGUCCUAAAAUUCUUGUCUUAGAUUUUUCUAGAUAUGAAUGUAUCUAAUAUUAAAACAUGACUUGAUACAUUUGUAUUUAGACAAAUCUAAAACAAGAAUUUUGGGACAGAGAGAGUACGUG
rfam:Triticum aestivum genome assembly, contig: Triticum_aestivum_CS42_TGACv1_scaffold_159712_2DL